CAUGUAGGCGGCAUAACAAGUCUGGUGUGAAAUAUCUCGGCUCAACCGAGGGAACGCACUGGAAACUGUUAAGCUUGAGUAUCGGAGGGGAAGCUAGAAUUCCUGGUGUAGGGGUGAAAUCUGUAGAUAUCAGGAAGAAUACCGGUGGCGAAGGCGAGCUUCUGGCCGGAUACUGACGCUGAGAUGCGAAAGCGUGGGGAGCGAACAGGAUUAGAUACCCUGGUAGUCC
rnacentral:rRNA from 1 species